rnacentral:rRNA from 1 species
UUGAACGCUGGCGGCAGGCCUAACACAUGCAAGUCGAGCGGAUGAAGGGAGCUUGCUCCUGGAUUCAGCGGCGGACGGGUGAGUAAUGCCUAGGAAUCUGCCUGGUAGUGGGGGAUAACGUCCGGAAACGGGCGCUAAUACCGCAUACGUCCUGAGGGAGAAAGUGGGGGAUCUUCGGACCUCACGCUAUCAGAUGAGCCUAGGUCGGAUUAGCUAGUUGGUGGGGUAAAGGCCUACCAAGGCGACGAUCCGUAACUGGCCUGAGAGGAUGAUCAGUCACACUGGAACUGAGACACGGUCCAGACUCCUACGGGAGGCAGCAGUGGGGAAUAUUGGACAAUGGGCGAAAGCCUGAUCCAGCCAUGCCGCGUGUGUGAAGAAGGUCUUCGGAUUGUAAAGCACUUUAAGUUGGGAGGAAGGGCAGUAAGUUAAUACCUUGCUGUUUUGACGUUACCAACAGAAUAAGCACCGGCUAACUUCGUG